rnacentral:snoRNA from 9 species
AUGAUCUUACUUCAACAAGAUCUGUUCUAUAGGCUCAUACCGCUGCCUCCUUUACCAAUAAGGAGGCAAGCACUUCAGUCUGGUUGAUGCAUUCUGACCACUGGGCCAAAAUCUGAUACAAACA